rnacentral:rRNA from 1 species
GUUUAACCUUCGGGGGGACGCUUACCACUUUGUGGUUCAUGACUGGGGUGAAGUCGUAACAAGGUAGCGCUAGGGGAACCUGGCGCUGGAUCACCUCCUUAAACGAUGAU